rnacentral:rRNA from 1 species
UGAGGAAUAUUGCACAAUGGGCGCAAGCCUGAUGCAGCGACGCCGCGUGAGUGAAGAAGGCCUUCGGGUCGUAAAGCUCUUUUCUGCGUGACGAGCAAGGACGGUAGCGCAGGAAUAAGUCUCGGCUAACUACGUGCCAGCAGCCGCGGUAAAACGUAGGAGACAAACGUUAUCCGGAGUUACUGGGCGUAAAGGGCGUGUAGGCGGUUGGUUAAGUCUGGCGUGAAAGCUCUCGGCUAAACCGGGAGAGGUCGUUGGAUACUGGCAAACUAGAGGACGGUAGAGGCGUGUGGAAUUCCGGGUGUAGUGGUGAAAUGCGUAGAGAUCCGGAGGAACACCAGUGGCGAAGGCGACACGCUGGGCCGUACCUGACGCUAAAGCGCGACAGCAUGGGGAGCAAACGGGAUUAGAUACCCCCGUAGUCC